CAGAAAUGCAUUGAAAGAGCAGUGGCUCAGUACCUGCCCCACUUCAGAUCUUCUACCUGACUGGCUGGAAGUUUCACAAAUCACAGGUGAGACCUGCACAGAGAAGUUCUGCUACAGUUUCAUUUGGAGAUCUAGCAAAAACAGAGGAACUUAGUAGAAGAGGAGCAAAAUAGUUCUUCAUAAGUAAUAAAAGUUAUUUUGAAGCUCCUAUCAAACUUGAGUGGACAGUCUCCACUUCUACUUAUUUUGUUACAAUGUUUUGAAAUUAUAAUCUGCAUGCAGCAAGGAAUUUGAAUGCCUGUGCUACAUCAACUGUGUAAAAUGGCACUCAUUUCUUUUUCUAGAGAAGUAUUUGAGCAUUAUUCUAAGUAGUACAUUCUCUCCCAGUUGGAUUAAAUUCUCAAAUGUAUACUCAAUACUCAAUAUACUCAAUACUCAAAUGUAUACUCUCAAAUGUUGGAUACUAUUCUCAAAUGUAAUUCCUCUCCCAGUAUUUCAGUAGGACAGACUAUUCCAGGUAUGAUUUGCAAGUCUUGGGCUGUAUUUUCAAAUUAUUCCUGAAGGAUGGUAGGUCAUAAUGAACAACUCUACUUGGUGACAAAUAAAUUUAAGUCAUACUAGAAGAGAAUAUCAGCAAAUACACAGAUCUAACCAACUUUGUAUGGUUUUUGUCUGUUGGAAAUUAUAGUUAAAAAGAUAUUAUCAGUUAGCGUUUGAAAGUUGAAUGUUUGACUUGUGCAAGAGGAAGUGAUUAAAUAAGUGCUGUAACAAUAUCUUUAGUUCACACUUCUUUGUACCUGCAACACAAAUUCAAUUCUCCUUCUACUUGCAAAUGCAAAAAUGAUUGUUUCUAAACAUUAAGGAGGGUAGGGUACCACAGAAAAGGCUGAUGCUUCAUUCCACCUUUAACAGACUGUGCCAUCAUUUGACUAAGUUUACUGAGAGAAGUAGCAAGCAGAAAAGUUAACUAGCACACAAACAGACUUGUAUACUUUAAACUAAUUAGCUUACAAGUGGCAUUCUCUGGAAUUGGCAUUCUUUUGGAAUUGCAAGGAACUUUGUACCAGUUGUAUAUUGUAGUGCUUAAAGGUGUUGUAUUAACAAAUGUGUCAGAGCUUCUCUUGGCCUGCCGUAAGAAGAUGAUCCAGCAGGUGGAGUUUGACAGGAUGGUGUGCACAGGCCAAGUAGGCAAGGAGUCAUCUUCGAAGGCGAUCCGGAGGGGCACUGAGGUGCUGUCACACCGCUGUUCAGUCAGCAGACCGAGAGCACUUGUUUGAUGCAUGGAUGACUGAUCUUCGAUUACUGCCUUUCACAAAACAAACAGAAACAUCUGUUGUUUUAUUUAUACCUGAGCUUUCCCAAAUAGCAGCUUAAGGGGCUUUGUUUUGUUCUGUUUUGUUUUUCCUUCACUUUUAGCUCAGUGAAUCCCUCUUGUAUGCAGAGAGGGACUUUGAAAACCAAAUAGAUUGGAUGAUUGUAUCUCCCUUUUCAGGUCAUGCUAAAGCCUGCUGGCUGAUACUUUUUGUUAAAGAGCAUUAAUGAUCCCUUAUUGAGAGACUAGACUUUUAUUUAUAACUUCUAUAACUCUGUGUUUAGAGAUUUCAAAGGUACUGAAUUAAAAGAGAUUGCAGGGGUGGUUUACCCGCCUCUUAAAUACCUUUGGAGUAAACUUAGUCAUUCCACUUUGGGAGAGGAUUCAGGUUUGUGAACCAAAGGGCUUAUAAGUACAGAGAAGUGUUUCCCCACUGCUCCUUGCAGUGAACAGCUGAAUUUGAUAGAUAGCAUUACUCCAGCAUUGACUACAGGGCAGCCUGUCUUCAAUUCUAGCUCUCCUGUGUCUCACACAGCAUCUGUGAAUCACUUCAGAAAUCUUGAGGAUGUAAGUCAGAAUCCCAUUGCUAUAAAGGGAUUUAAGCGUUACGUGGUACAAUCCUAGAACCGCCAAGGUUGGAAAAGACCUCCAAGAUCAUCUAGACCAACUGUCCACCUACCAUCAGUAUUUCUUCAUAACCCAUGUCCCUUAGUACCAUAUCUAAAGGUUUCUAAUUCUGAUUGUGUUCUAAUCAUCUUGAAAACACAUUGAUGUGACUUAGUGUUGCUCUUGCAAUGAAUUUACAAAUGAAUCUUGGCGUAAGACAGAUGUAUUUUAACACUUCUGUUUGUAUGCCUGCUUCCUGUGUAUUUAUUUUCACCCUCCAGCUGAUGAGCUGCUUUGUCUUGUGUACUGAAAUGGCCUGUUUAAUGCAGUGGGAAGUCAAGUAAAAGCUACCAUUUGUUAAUGGAUGCUUAGAACAGGCACAGUCAGACAUCUUAAAUUAUUCUAAAUAAGCAGUAAUUCUGAUUCAUUUCUAAAGAUAGAACUGUAACAACCCAGUUACCUAGUUCCCUCAUAGACUAAUCAGCAUGAAAUCGGUCUAUAAGUUUAAUGUGCAAUUUCUCAUUGUGUGGACGUUGAACAUACUAGCAAAAAUAUGGCAAGCUGUAUUAGAUUCUGUGUGGUAACUUGUUCCCAUGCCAUGCUGAGGGGUCAAUCUAGAGGGAUGUAGAUAAGCUGGUUUGCUGGGCUGAGGGGAAUGGGAUAAGGUUCAACACGGCCAAGUGCUGGGUGCUGCACUUUGGCCCCAAUAACUCCAUGCAGCACUGCAGGCUGGGGAUGAGCGGCUGGAUGACUGUGAAGAAGAAAGGGACCUGGGGGUGUUGGUUGAUGAUUAGCUGAACAUGAGCCAGCAGUGUGCCCAGGUGGCCAAGAGGCCCAAUGCCAUCCUGGCCUGCGUUAGAAAUAGUGUGGCCAGCAGGAGCAGGGAGGUGAUCGUCCUCCUCUACUCAGCACUGGUGAGGCUGCUAUGACAUAUGGCUUAAUAGCUUGUGGUAGUAAUGGUGAUGGGAGGGAGGUUGAACUAAGAUGAUCUUGUAGGUUCUUUCCAACCUUGUGAUUCUAUGAUUCUGUAAAAUAUAUCUAAUGGGUAUGUGCCAUGUCUGUAGUGUUUUCCUCUUACCUUCUGUUGUCCUGUUAAUCCUACUUUCAACAGUGUUCCUAUGGAACUGAUUUUCUGACCAGGCUGCGUCAUGGAAGGGAAAUGUAACUUGAAGAAGUACAGCUGUGGUGGAGGAACAUGCGUGCUAAGCCCUAAGACCUGUAGCAAUAUCUAGAACAAAGACAAGAGAAGGAAAUUAAGGAAAGAAAAAUGACUCACUACUUGUACGUUGAAGAUCACAUUCAGAAAUAGUGUUGAGAAAGGCGUUUAUGUCAGGAAAACACAAUGGUUUGAGUGCUCAUUGAAAGUAAAUGCAAGAGCUGCCUUGGUAUUACUGAAAAUAUACUUUGGGAAGGACUCAGAAACAGGACAUUUGGAAUGAAGAACUCAAACUGCAUUGUAGGCUGAACUAAUGUCUGAGGUUUAAAUAUAUGUGGGAACUAUAUUAUAUAGUUCUGAAGCUGAAAGCGAUAAGCCUGGAUCUGAUGUGGAAUGUAAAGAAAUGAGAAAACUGGAUGCCAAGAGGUAUUUUCAGCAGCAGUAUUGCCAGUACACUGAAGAAACCAGAGAGACAAGCAGGAAAAUGGGCUACUGGGAACUGGGUGUAGUCCAGAAAGCUGGUGGCAGUGGCUUGGAAAUGCACAGAAGCAUAUAAUCUCCCAAAUCAAGCUUCUAAUGGAAACUGGGUGCUUCAUGGCCAAUGAAUCAGCUGAGGAAAAAUGCUCAGGAAUAAAAGCCCUUGGGAUGAAUACAAAGCAACAAAGAUCUUCAGAGUUACGCAAUUUGUAUCUUUAAAGUAAUGGUAACUUCUUUCAGUUCCAAUUGGAAGACCCCAAAGGUCAAGAUUAACCUUGAAUACAACCUGUAUGUAAAAAGCAGGAGGUGGAGGAGGUGGUGCAACAAAGGGUCAUGUCCAACCACAGCCCACCAAGUGUGGGAGAUGGAGGGAAGGGAGAGAAAACGAAAUAAUUAGUUAUUAUUAGAAACUGAUUACUGUAGGUACUAUGAAUCUUGUGAGAAGGAGUAGUGGAAUAGCUGCUGUGGUUUUUAUUUAGAUUAAGUUGUAUUUCAAUCUCAAACUUAUGAAGCUGCAGACACAUAAUAUGCAUAUGCUGAAGUUCAGCUUCUUUAAAAAUAGGGCUUACAGGUGCAUGUGAUGGUACAUGUACAGCAAAUUCUUUUGUUUUCAAGAAAAUCUUCUUUUAAUUUGGGCUUGAAACUGGAUUCUGCUGACCUCAUUUUAAACUGGAAGUCUAAAGACUGGGUAAAGAUAGCCUUGCUUUAGUGCAGCAGCAGCAGAUGAAUCUCUGACUUCUCAUGAAGGUGGUGCUAGCAGUGGGGGCUCUUAGCAAUGCCCAAACUGAAAGUACUUCCAACAAGGCAGAAUCAGACUGUAAUGCAUUAAUUCCAUUGUACGGUUUAUCUACUUUGCUUGACAUGGACAGUUAUUUUUUGGCAUUGUGUGGCAAUCAUCAUUUUGGUGUGUUUAGACUCUCUUCACAUCAGGGUCCUUAUUUAGUAAAUACCUGGAACAGAAUCUCUACGUACUGGGAUGUUCUAUGAAAUUGAUCUUGUCAGCCAAGUGCUUUAAGGAGACUUAGUGUAAUUUACUCAUUUUGUCUUUCUGCUGAUAGUUCCUAGGGAGAUUUUUAUGCCUUUAGGACAAAUUGUCUGAUGAACCUGCAACAAAAGGUAGGACUUAGUCCUAGAGAACAAGAUUCCUAGUGGAUCUUUAAAUUCCACAACCAAAGCAUCUGUAUGAGGUAAGGAGCAGCACACGAGGUUUUCAGGUAAGACAUUUUCCACAGUAUGAGAAUUAAGAGAAAAUGUAUUUUGAAAAUUCUACCCUCACUUGACAUUCGUUCUGCUAUCCGUUCUUAUGCACUGUCUUUAGGACUAUAUAUUCUAUGCCGUGUAACUGGACAGUGAUAAACGGCUCAACAAGGUUAAAAAUUAAUGAAGAAAGGGCAAUGAGAAUGUUGUACUUUUAUAAUGACUUAUCUGGCUCGUACAAAUGAGAUUGUGUACGAAAUAUAAUAAUGUUAUCAAUGUAAUCUAUGUUACUUUGGACAUUUCCAUACUUAUGAUUCAUUAACAGUAACUGUUUUGCUAUGUAGCUUUCUGUACUGGUUAUGUUGCUUGGCAACAUUAAGUCCAAGAUAAUGAUGUCUUACUGCCUGUGAUUAAAUAAUGCUUUUUCCCCGUAUUGUUUAUGAUAUAUCUAGCUUAUUUAUUUUCUUGUUUGCAAACUCUGUUCCUUAUUUUUCAUGCCAAAUAUAGCAAGGUAUGUAUACAUUCCUUGGAUAAUUCUAUACUUAAAAUUCACCGCGUGUAGUCCCCUACUGAAGUGAAUGCAAAUAGCAAAAUAGUAUGAUGGAAAAAUAAAACCAGUGCACGAUAAUGCAAAGAACAUAAAAUGGAGAGGCAGUCUGUAGAACUACCGCUGAUACUGCUGAAUAAAUCCUUAAAGCCUUUUCAGCUGAAGUGCGUUGCUGAUAGCCGUGGAUAAUGCCCUGGCUCUAUGGUUUAAUUCUCCUCUUAAAUAAAUAAAUAGGAAGCUAUGGGGCUUGCCCAUAUGCAGUGCUAAACUUUGGAACUCGACCAAAAAAAGUGAAAUACUAUGCGCUAAAGGGUAGUAAAUGUCUUCUGAUGCCAUUAGUAGAUAGAUCAAUGCAGUUUAAUAGUAUUUACAGUAGUACAUUGGACCUCAGUGUUAACAGUAUUCUGAACUAAUACCUGAAGCAUAGCACACAUUAAAAUUGAUAUCGGGUGACUAUUGAACAUAUUUUAAAUGAUUCUGUUAAUUCCCACAGAGCUUAUCACCAUGGUGACAGUGACAGAAAUUGAACGAACAGGAAAAAAACUCAGAAUUGAUCCAUCCUAAGUGAGAUUCCAAUGGGAUUUAGAGUCAUGCUUAAAAAUUGGGAGCCAAAUUUAAGAGUUCAGCUGGUGGUAUACCUCUUAUCUUCUCCAAGGAGGGGUUCUGUCUGCAGGUUUGGUCUCUGCAUCAUACAUUGCUUUCCAGAUGGCAUCACCUAGGAAGUGAUGGUUUUGGAACAGAGGCCUAGAUAGUAAGCCGUGUGCUUCCAAUAUACUGGCAUUAAAUCAAUAAUUCUUUGUGGUUUAGACAUUUAUAACUGAAGUGUUAACACUGGUAUGGAUGCAGUAUGAGUAGAAAUGUGCAUGUGACAGCACCAGGAAUUACAGCCAAGUAAAUGUUAAAAGAGUGUUGUACUGAACACUCAGCAUGCUGCUCCCAGGGCUCUUCACCCAGUUGUAAGGAUGAGGAAUACGUUGUUAAGUCCACAUGAGAACACCUGCCCUCUACAAGACUCUGCAGCACUGAGGAAGACCCAGAAGGGUGGCAGAAAGUUGCAGCAUGUCCUGCAUACCAAUCCUUUGUGGUUUUCCAAUAGGAGAACGUGCCCUUCAAACCAACAAGGAAAAUAAUGGAGGAUGCACAGAAAGCUUGGCUACGACGCAUGGAGCUACUGGAGUCAGAAACAAAGCACUGGCUGCCAAAACAGAUUGUUGAUGAAGAUGUUCAAGAAGAUCAGAUCCAGCACCGACCCCUGGGGAACACCACUAGUUACAGGCCUCCAACCAGGUUCUGAGCUGCUGAUCACAACCCUCUGAGCUCUGCCAGUUCUCAAUCCACACUUCCGAAGCCUACCUAUGAGGAUGUUAUGGGAGACAAUGUCAAAAGCCUUGCUGAAGUUAAGGAAGGAUAUUGCAGUCUCGGUAAGCAGGUUUCUGCUUCUCCUUAAGAGGAAUAAAGACCGAAUAAGACUGUUUCUCAAAGACUAAAACCAGGCCAUUGGAUGAUGCAGCUGUCUUGACUGUAAGAUGGUGGUGCACCUCCAGCGGUGGCCAAGGUCGCAGUGGUCACACAUUACGUCAGUAUUGAAGAUAACCGCAUUACUGUCAUGUACUUUUCCUUGGAGCUCAUGGGUAAGCUCUGCUUUUUCUUUUUCUGUAUUGAGGUCACUUUGACUGUUGCAAUCUAUUUAUGUUUUCAAUUUCCAUUUCUUACUGAGUGCAUUGUAGGCUGAUCAGGAAUUCCACAUUUUCAAGGGGCGUACUGAAAAGCGUUUUCCUGCCUGAAAGUUUUCAUUGCGUAUUUUCUGAAAUACAUCUCAUUUCUUUCUGAUACAGAAUUAUUCAGACCAAGUAGUUCUGUUUCUGGCAGUCAUGAGUAGAGACCUGGAAAUGCUCAUGCAAGCACCUCCACCACAAAGUUCAUAUCAAAAACUCCAAAAAGCUCCUUCUCUGUUGUCUUUGCAUACAUUAACUUUUAUCAUAGGGUAUGAUUUUUGUAAACAUUAGUAUGAGGGCUGCUCUGAAAGUAAUGCCUCCUGUUUUAUGAUGUUGGCCCACAAUAUCAGAGGCCGAUGUUGGUGGCCGUGUUACAGAUGGCAGCAGACGUGGAAGUGCAUAUGGAGCAAAGGUGUGAUGCUGAAGUCCUCCAUGUGGAAAGAAUGACACUUGCUGAAUGUUGAUGGAGUGCAAACAGUGGAUGUGAGCACAGUGAGGGGUGGGUGGUGUGUUUCAGCAGUAGCAACAGCAACAGCGGGUCACCUCCGCUGCUGCAGAGUUUUCCUCUGCAAAACGUAUUAAAAUCAGAAAGCUGUGAGAAACAUGAAUAUUUUGCCUUUCAUCUUUCUCUCCAAUCACCCCGCAGGACAAAGGAGCCUGCAGUUUCUUGCCUCCUUGUUAGCUCAUUUGCUCGAGGCAACAAAGCAGGGAAAUUACAGGCAGCACUUCAUCAAAUGCUUGUCAUCAGUUCACUCCCUCUCUAUCUGUCACGAGGUGUAGUUUUAUUAACAGAAACUUGACCCAGGUAUGCUAGUAGCUCGAAAGCUCAAAAGGUGGGGUACAGCUCUCCAAUAAAAGAUGAGUGAUGUACGUUUUAUGUGUUGAAUGCAUGGUGGCAUAUCUGAAAGUGAAUGUGCUUAUAGAAAGGCAACAUUUUGUUGAAUAUUGUGGAACUCAGAAGGGUUUUUCUAUGUGAUGUGAAUGAGCAGGAGAAAAGACUUCAUGGUUAAUGUACAUGGGCUGUACAUCUGCAUUAGAAUUUCCUGCUGUGGAACUUGUGUUGGCACAGGAUUUAAUAAAAAUCAACAAGACUCAGCUAACAGGGCUUACUGCACAAACAAGCUCUGAGAAGUGAAAAUAAUAACUGCUGAGAUACAUUUUUUCAAAUUAAAUAUGAAAUAUUCAUAAACUCAUUUUAUAUGUUUAUACUUUAUUCUGUUAUUGGCAUGGUAAAUUACUUUUGUUUACUGGCUACUCAAAUCAUACAUUUCCAAAUGCGUAAAGUUGUGUUUCAUUUGUUAAAAUGGUUAGAACCAGAGGAAAUAAUCUCAAUUUAAUCUCACAUUCUAAAUAAUGUUAUCAAGGAAUUGAAAUCGUAUAAUGAGGUUCAGAAUCUAAUCCACAUCACCCACAUUACACAGUCUUUGAAAUCAGCAUGCUGACUUUACAAGUCGUUGUGUAGUUCACAGGUAGAAUUUAAACUGUUUUACAGGGCAGCAGCUCCGAACUGCUUAUUUUGGUCAGGAUGGCUGAUGGUGACUUUAAUGCUGUGUGCAGGUGGUGAAUGUUCCAGCAGCUUGCACUGAAGUUCCAGCUCUUCUUUGGUAUAUUUAUUCACUGAUAUAGUGUAUUAUUAAUUCUCUUAUUCAUUUACAUUUGCUAUUAUGUAUCUCACAGGAACUCUCUAACCAGUCACUGCUUUAUCCAUAUGUCAAGCAAGCAUUCAUUUUACAGUCACAGUAGAAAUCUGUCUUCUGUCCAGGCCAUGCAUCUUUUAAACAAUACUUUGUGGGCAUUUCCCUGUUUUCCUCUCAUCUUCUACAGAAUGUCACCAGUGCGUUCCGUAGGCCAGGGAUGGAUGAAACACACUAAAUUUUGCAUUUUUGCACUCAGCGUUUCAGUGAAACAUACUGAGGCCUUCUGAGUAUUGUUUAAGCUGACAUAGUAUACAGCUCACUAAUUUUCUCCAGAAAAUAAUCUAUUUUUCAGCCUUGCUGGUUUUCAUCCAAGUACUGAAAUGCUGCUUUUUGGCUAAAUUUUCCCAGCCCAUUCAAUACUGCUGAUCACUUCUCUCAGAGACUCCUCUUUGACUCCCAUGCUUCUCAUUCCAGUGAUUGCGCUCUCAUGUUCCUGGUCAUCAUGAUGCUGGAUUUUGUAUGGACUUCCUUCAUCCUCCUUUAGCAUCUCCUGUACUUUCUGCCCUUGUGAGGUCUCACCUGCAGUGCUGCAUCCAGACCUGGGUCCCCAGCACAAGAAGGAUGUGGAGGUGUUGGAGCAGGCCCAGAGGAGGGCCAUAAAGAUGCUGAGAGGGCUGCAGCACCUCUCCUUUGAAGAAAGGCUGAGGGAGGUGGGCUUGUUCAGCCUGGAGAGGAGAAGGCUCUGGGGAGAACCUCAUUGCUGCCUUCCAGGAGGGGGACUGAAUCUUUACAUGGUCGGAUAGUGAUAAGACAAGGAGCAAUGGCUUUAAAUUAAAAGAGGAGAAAUUUAGGUUAGAUGUUAGGAGGUAAUUCUUUACUCAGAGGGCAGUGAAGCCCUAGCAUUGCUGCCCAGAGCUGUGGUGCCCCAUCCCUGGAGGUGCCCAAGGCCAGGUUGGAUGGGCCCUGGGCAGUCUGAGCUGGUGGGGGGCAGCCAGCCCAUGGCAGGGGUUGGGCUGGGGGGGUUUUGAGGCUCCUUCCAACCCAAACCAUUCUAUGAUUUUGUGAUUUCUGUUCAUUCUCACUCUACAUCUUUGCUGCAAAUCUAGUGUUGUCCUUGUACAAUCUUACCCACUAACAUGGACAGUUAAGUGUCCGCACAGAGCCAGAAGUUAAUUACUGUACUGUGUGUUAUAUAAUUAGCACCUUGUCUAAGCAUCACCCCACUUUUAGGAUGCUACCUGUUAGAUGUUCCUUGCUUGGAAACAAUGGUCAAACUUGGCACUUCAGGCUAAAACUCUCAUCAACAAUUCUAUGAGAAAGAAAAUAAACUGUAUUUAUGUACAUGUGAUACUGUGCCUCUGUGCCAGCUACAGUGUUAGAGAAAGAAAAAGACGUAACCUGUGUUUUGUUCCCUACUUUCCUUAGAUUUCAUUGCAGUGUGCUAGACUGCUGCCAGCAUCCAGGGAGCAGGAUUAUUAUUCCUGUCAUGUGGAUAUUUUCUUCCCUCUGCUGACUGAGAGCUACAAACUUGUCAGACAGAAAGCCUGAUGUAUUUGUGCCUUUGUCUUUUUAAAAUUCACCCAUGGCCAAUGUUAACAUGUGCUCGACCAGGGGAAAAUAUCUUCAUAAAGAAAUUAGGUGUAUUCCCCAAACAGCAUUUCUAACGGACCAUUUCCCAUAUAUUUUUCUAGCUCUGGAUGUGGGGAUUGCAAGCUGGUGGGCAGCAGUGGAAGGGCUAUUCGUGUUUCAUAUCUACAAGGCUGAACACUUUGCUUCCCUUCAGGAACAGCAGGGAAAGCACAGACUGAGAUAGCUGGUAAUUGUCCGAUGAUUUCACUUGACCUGGAGGAUUUGUGAUUGUUGGAAGGUUUAAGGCCUCCGGAAUCAACAAGUAUAAGAAGUGAAUGCUGAUCAUGCUCACACCAAAGGCGGUGACUUAAUUUCUUCUUGCUUCCGUGGGCCCAAUUAUACCAAGAGCUACUGAGGCACAUACUUUCUAUAUUUCCCAAAAUGAUGGCUGUUUUAGCUGUUUUUACAAAUGAAAAUGAAGAAUGCAUGCAAAUGUCCCGGAUGGGAAAAGAGUUUUCUCUGUCUUCCCUUCUGGUCCAAUAAACAUUGAUUUAUAAAAUGUGGAACAGAUCCCAGAGGACUUUAGAAUAUUCAGUAGCUUGGUAAUGUGGCAAUGAUGCAGGAUAUGGGUUCAAGUAUCUGCUCUGCAUCAUAGAAACACAAACACACGUGACUUCAGCUAUGAUCCCUUUGAUGCCUCUUCAUCAGCUGGUUUCUCAUUUUACCAAGAUGAGAAAACUGUGUGUGGGCUACCAGAGAAUAUCAGCUGGCCAAAACAAAGACAUUGAGUAAACACAGAGGAUAGCAGUGUACCCUUGAGAGCCGACCUAAUCUGAACAUUAAAACGUGCUUUGUAAAGAGGAGUUUUAUUCUAACUUGAGCUGGUGAGAAGGACAGCUCUGAGUAUUCUGUUCCACCAGUGGGUGUGGUGAGACUAUGGAUUUUGCUGUCAGGAAUUGCACCAUGACUGCAGAACAAGAGCACAGACGCUGUGUUUGCUCCUCAGAAACUAGGACUUGGUACAAAGGCGGGCAUUCCUGUGCACAGGAAAAAAGGCACUUUUCGCUGUUGUGUUUGUUUCACAGCAUUGUCACAGAGUCUCUCCCUCUGUCAGGAGCGGCUUUAUUUCACCAGAAGACCAAUGAGCUCCCUCCUGACACAGCCUGAUACACAGCACCCCGCAACACUGAGAAAAGGAGCAGACUUUUCCUCUGCCAGAUGCAAAACUUCUACAGGAUAACCCACUCGUUGCUGAUGUUUUGCCUUAAGUGGGAACACUGAGACCUGCUACCUGCACAAACCCAUUGAGCAGCGAUUCCCAAGAGCACAUCUCCGGGCUCUCUGUUCAUGCCGUGGAUGAUACUGCCCCUUUCAUUUCUAAGCUGAGGCAGUUCUGUGCAUCGUGUAUAACACAGUGUCCUCCAGUACCUCACCAUGCUUCCAUACUCUUCCACAGCAUCAUUUAUUGCCGUCUGAUCACUUGAUUAUUAUUAUUUUUACCGUGCUGUUUUUUGCUACUGUGCUCAUUGAA